rnacentral:rRNA from 1 species
UCCCACCCACUGUGAUUGCUACCGUGUUGCUUUGGCGGGCCGUUGGGCUCCUGUGAGCCCGCCGCCGGCUACGGCCGGCGCGCGCCCGCCAGAGGCUCUGCAAACCCUGAAUAUCAGUAUCGUCCGAGUCCACACAAUAGUUAAAACUUUCAACAACGGAUCUCUUGGUUCUGGCAUCGAUGAAGAACGCAGCGAAAUGCGAUAAGUAAUGCGAAUUGCAGAAUUCAGUGAGUCAUCGAAUCUUUGAACGCACAUUGCGCCCCGUGGUAUUCCGCGGGGCAUGCCUGUUCGAGCGUCAUUUCAACCCUCAAGCUCUGCUUGGUGUUGGGCCGGGCCCGCCGCGGCCGGCCCCAAAGACAGUGGCGGCGCCGCCCGGCUCUCAGCGCAGUACCUCUCUCGCUGCGGCGCCUGGCGGCGGCCUGCCAGAACCCCAACUCUGUGGUUGACCUCGGAUCAGGUAGGGAUACCCGCUGAACUUAAGCAUAUCAAA